CUGCUAAAUACUAACCAGUGACCGACAGUGAACCAGUACCGCGAGGGAAAGGUGAAAAGAACCGCUGCGAGCGGAGUGAAACAGAACCUGAAACCGUGUGCCUACAAGGUGUCGGAGCCGAUUUAUUCGGUGACGGCGUGCCUUUUGCUUAAUGAGUCUGCGAGUUAGUGCCCGUGGCAAGCUUAAGCCCUUCAGGGGCGCAGGCGCAGGGAAACCGAGUCCGAACAGGGCGACCACAGUGGCGGGCACUGGACCCGAAGCGGAGGUGAUCUACCCAUGGCCAGGACGAAGCGCCAGUAACAUGUCGUGGAAGGCCGAACCGGUGAAUCUUGAGAAAUCCUCGGAUGAGCUGUGGGUAGGAGUGAAAGGCUAAUCAAACCCCGUGAUAGCUGGUUCUCUCCGAAAUGCAUUGAGGUGCAGCGUCGCAUGCUGAUGAACGGGGGUAGAGCACUGAAUAGGCUAGGGGACACACCCGUCUACCAACCCUAAUCAAACUCCGAAUACCGUUCAAUGAAGUGCGGCAGUGAGACUGCGGGGGAUAAGCUUCGUAGUCGAGAGGGAAACAGCCCAGACCGGCAGCCAAGGUGCCUAAAUACCGCUCAGUGGAAAGGAGGUGGGACUACAGAGACAGUGAGGAUGUUGGCUUAGAGGCAGCCACCAUUUAAACAGUGCGUAAUAGCUGACUCAUCGAGUGGUCCCGCGCCGAAAAUGAUUGGCGAUCAAGCGGUAUACCGAAGCUCCGGAUGCCAUCGGGAUUCGUCCCUUUGGUGUGGUAGGAGAGCAUUGUCUGAGCGCUGAAGCCGGAUGGCGACUGAAGGUGGAGUUCAGACAAGAGAGCAUGCAGACAUAAGUAACGUGAAGGCCGGUGAAAUCCCGGCCCGCCGUAAACCCAAGGUUUCCUGGGCCAUGCUGAUCAUCCCAGGGUUAGUCGGGACCUAAGCCGAGGCGGAGACGCGUAGGCGAUGGACAGCGGAUUAAUAUUUCCGCACCACCGAAACUUAAACCGGAAUGACGGGGACCCGGAGAAGGCCUGCCGAUUGAAAGUGGCAGGGGCGCAGGCUGACGGGGAGACUUCGGUCAAACCGGAUCCUUCAAAGGGACCUCCAGGAAAAGUUCCGGCGUAUGCCAAGGUGCCCGUACCGCAAACCGACACAGGUGGGUGGGUAGAAUAUACCAAGGCGCAAGAGUGAACCCCCGUUAAGGAACUCGGCAAUCUAGCCCCGUAACUUCGGGAGAAGGGGUGCCCCCCGCAAGGGGGGCCGCAGUGAAUGGGCCCAACCGACUGUUUAUCAAAAACACAGCAUUGUGCCAAGGCGCAAGCCGACGUAUACGAUGUGACACGUGACCAAUGCGGAAAGAUUAAGGCAAGAGGUUAGUCGCAAGGCGAAGCUUUGAACCCAAGUCCCCGUGAAUGUCGGCCGUAACGAUAACGGUCCUAAGGUAGCGAAAUUCCUUGUCGGGUAAGUUCCGACCUGCACGAAUCGUGUAACGAGUUGGGCGCUGUCUCAACGGGGCGCUCAGCGAAAA
rnacentral:rRNA from 1 species